AUGGAGUACUGCACUGCAGACACACAUUCAUGGUUCCUUUUGAGAAGACUUCUGGGAUAUUCCUUCUUUGGAGAUGCCAGACACUGCAGAGCAAACAGUCUUCAAAGGAAAAGGGAUAACAUGUUGGCCGCACAGUUCAACUUCAUUCUCAUCCAUAUUUAGGAAUCCUGAAGACUGAAGAUAAUAGGAAAAACAGAACUCUUUAAUCCUGUGGUAUCAUACAGAAAUCAUGGUUUCAUGUUCAGACAUAACUAGGUCAUUUUCUUCUAAAAGAAAAAUAGGUUUGGUGUAUUGUAUUUUUGAAAAUAAAUCCACUGCUUUAUUCA
rnacentral:lncRNA from 1 species